GCUGCCUUUAGGCUUCCCCGCCACACAGUACAAAGUUACUCUGUGUCCUUUUUCUCUGCUUACUACAGAGCCAUUUUCUGAGAACCAAUUCAUAACAAAGGAUUUGCGCUCGCCAGGGCCUGGGCCUAGACUGACGCCAUGGGCCUUUCCCCACCCUGAGAGCCUUUUGUUUGGUGCCCAAAGAAUUGCUCCAUUCAUUAUCCCCACAGAUGCUUGGCCCGAAGGCAGAAAGAGUCAGUAAAAACAACAAGAAGCUGAGUUCUCCGCCGGCCUAGGCUAUCAUUAUCUACACAAGAGAUGAUGAGUUUGUAAUGAAGUUGACGAGCCUUAUUCAGGCCCUCGCAGAUUGGCAAGAGGAUAAAAAUGAAGAUGUAUAGACUUGGAAUAACCCACAGUUUACCCCUUUGAAUCGUUCUCAUCAAGCAACAGAAAAGCCAUACUAUGAAGACGAUAGCUUGGUAAACCAAUGGUCCAUGAAAGAAAAGAAAGAGAAAAGAGGAAAAGAUGGGGGUGGAGGGAGAAAAGAAGAGAGAGAAAUCACUCAAGAUGGUCAACGUUGCCGCUUCCUGUUCAUUUUUCUGAUCUCUCACGAUCACCUUGACUCAGCAGAAUUUCAGCCAAAUAGAGGGAAGAAAAUAAAGACAUUGGAGAAAGCUUUGUUGAAGAUCCCCAG